rnacentral:rRNA from 1 species
AACCCGGGUGAAAGCCUGGGGUGCCCCGCGAGGGGAGCCCUAGCACAGGUGCUGCAUGGCCGUCGUCAGCUCGUGCCGUGAGGUGUUGGGUUAAGUCCCGCAACGAGCGCAACCCCCGCCGUUAGUUGCCAGCGGUUCGGCCGGGCACUCUAACGGGACUGCCCGCGAAAGCGGGAGGAAGAGGGACGACGUCUGGUCAGCAUGGCCCUUACGGCCUGGGCGACACACGUGCUACAAUGCCCACUACAAAGCGAGGCCACCCGGCAACGGGGAGCUAAUCGCAAAAAGGUGGGCCCAGUUCGGAUUGGGGUCUGCAACCCGACCCCAUGAAGCCGGAAUCGCUAGUAAUCGCGGAUCAGCCAUGCCGCGGUGAAUACGUUCCCGGGCCUU